AGACGCAGGGAGGGAGCAAGGCUAGGUCCUGGUAACUUCUGACCUCCAGAACAUGGUCCUGUUACCUAUCACAACCUCGAAGGUUUGCGCAGUGGAGAUCCCUACAGACCCUACAGCCUAGAAUGGCCAACAGAGGUCCCUGCAGACCCCGAGUGUGGACCUUUCAGGAAGAAGACCUAGAUCUGCCUUGGAACUUAGGCAAGUCACUAUCCUGUACAAAAUGGGCCUAUGUGACCAGUCCUAGGGGCUGCUGCCAAGGGCUAAAUGAGUUACUAUAGGCAAAGGCUCCCUGCUAUGCCUUUCUCUUUUCCCCUCUCCCUUUCAUUUGAAUUUUGGAUAUGAGGUAUCACUGUGUAGUCCAGGUUGGCCUCAUAUUCAAAUCCAUCCUCCUGCUUCAGCUUCCCCAGUAUUAGGAUCACAGGCAUGGGCACAAUACCUGGCUCUAAAUGUAUUUUCCAAUUUCCUGGUCUGAUUUAUUAUUUGUGGGGCUUGGCCAUUCUGCUUGUUAAGUAUUCAGAAUGUUUCACCUAGAUGGAGAGAAAGGAAAGGAAAGGAAAGCCAUGGGAGCCAAGGCCAUUAACUACUAAAUUCAUGGAAAAGCCAGGCACAGUGACAUACCUACCUGUGGUCCCUGCUACUUGGGAAGCGGAGGCAGGAAGGAAGAUCUGUGUCGAGAUGUUCAGAAACAUCAGCAAGAUCUUGUUGACCCCCC
rnacentral:lncRNA from 1 species